UUUACGGAGAGUUUGAUCCUGGCUCAGGAUGAACGCUGGCGGCGUGCUUAACACAUGCAAGUCGAACGGUGAAGGAGAGCUUGCUCUCUGGAUCAGUGGCGAACGGGUGAGUAACACGUGAGCAAUCUGCCCCUGACUCUGGGAUAAGCGCUGGAAACGGCGUCUAAUACCGGAUACGAGCUGCGAAGGCAUCUUCAGCAGCUGGAAAGAACUUCGGUCAGGGAUGAGCUCGCGGCCUAUCAGCUAGUUGGUGAGGUAACGGCUCACCAAGGCGUCGACGGGUAGCCGGCCUGAGAGGGUGACCGGCCACACUGGGACUGAGACACGGCCCAGACUCCUACGGGAGGCAGCAGUGGGGAAUAUUGCACAAUGGGCGCAAGCCUGAUGCAGCAACGCCGCGUGAGGGACGACGGCCUUCGGGUUGUAAACCUCUUUUAGCAGGGAAGAAGCGAAAGUGACGGUACCUGCAGAAAAAGCACCGGCUAACUACGUGCCAGCAGCCGCGGUAAUACGUAGGGCGCAAGCGUUAUCCGGAAUUAUUGGGCGUAAAGAGCUCGUAGGCGGUUUGUCGCGUCUGCUGUGAAAUCCCGAGGCUCAACCUCGGGUCUGCAGUGGGUACGGGCAGAC
rnacentral:rRNA from 1 species